rnacentral:rRNA from 1 species
CAUUCGAGUGGCGGACGGGUGAGUAACGCGUGGGUAACCUGCCUUACACAGGGGGAUAACACCUGGAAAUAGGUGCUAAUACCGCAUAAUAGGGAAUACCGCAUGGUAAUCCUUUGAAAACUCCGGUGGUACAGGAUGGGCCCGCGUCUGAUUAGCCAGUUGGCGGGGUAACGGCCCGCCAAAGCGACGAUCAGCAGCCGGCCUGAGAGGGUGGACGGCCACACUGGGACUGAGACACGGCCCAGACUCCUACGGGAGGCAGCAG